AUUGAACGCUGGCGGCAUGCUUUACACAUGCAAGUCGAACGGUAACAGGGUGCUUGCACCGCUGACGAGUGGCGAACGGGUGAGUAAUGCGUCGGAACGUGCCGAGUAGUGGGGGAUAACGCAGCGAAAGUUGUGCUAAUACCGCAUACGUACUGAGGUAGAAAGUGGGGGACCUUCGGGCCUCACGCUAUUCGAGCGGCCGACGGCUGAUUAGCUAGUUGGUGGGGUAAAGGCCUACCAAGGCGACGAUCAGUAGCUGGUCUGAGAGGACGAUCAGCCACACGGGGACUGGGACACGGCCCAGACUCCUACGGGAGGCAGCAGUGGGGAAUUUUGGACAAUGGGCGAAAGCCUGAUCCAGCAAUGCCGCGUGUGUGAAGAAGGCCUUCGGGUUGUAAAGCACUUUUGUCCGGAAAGAAAUGGCUCUGGUUAAUACCUGGGGUCGAUGACGGUACCGGAAGAAUAAGGACCGGCUAACUACGUGCCAGCAGCCGCCGUAA
rnacentral:rRNA from 1 species